rnacentral:snRNA from 1 species
GUGCUUGCUUCGGCAGCAUAUAUACUAAAAUUGCAACAAUACAGAGAAGAUUAGCAUGGACCCUGCGCAAGGAUGACACGCAAAUUCAUGAAGCGUUCCACAUUAAA